rnacentral:rRNA from 1 species
UACGUAGGGCGCAAGCGUUAUCCGGAAUUAUUGGGCGUAAAGAGCUCGUAGGCGGCUUGUCACGUCGGAUGUGAAAGCCCGAGGCUUAACCUCGGGUCUGCAUUCGAUACGGGCUAGCUAGAGUGUGGUAGGGGGAGAUCGGAAUUCCUGGUGUAGCGGUGAAAUGCGCAGAUAUCAGGAGGAACACCGAUGGCGAAGGCAGGUCUCUGGGCCGAUACUGACGCUGAGGAGCGAAAGCGUGGGGGAGCGAACAGG